UUGACGAUAAAACUGCUGCAAUCAAUUUUAAAUUAUUGGAACACACUUGCAGACCGGUUUCGGGCUAUUUGGCCAAUCGUCGGUGCAAGUGUCUAUCACCAACAUAAAGUCAAUGAUUUCCGAUAAUUGAAAAUUGAAUUCCUUCAGAAUAUCAUUCUUCGAACUAGGCUGAAGUGAAUGACAAACAACAUGUUUGUCAUCGCCCCAUCUGCCUGUGAACGAGGUAACCAACCGAAAAUCCGAAAUUUGGCCUAUUCUUCACAAAUUGAGUCAACGUAAAUCAAUUACCCUUUUUCAACAUCCCACCAUACAACAAAGACAUUUUUUGUGUGUAUAAAAACUGUUUUGUUGUGUAUAUAACCCUCCACAAUCUGAAAGAUAAACCUGAAAGUAUAUCUGAAAAAACGAAAGAGUGUAUUUACAAUAUUCCUUGUUUCUGUGGAAAAAGUAAUAUAGGUGAAACCUCAAGAUCCUUAGAUGUGAGAUAAAAUGAAUAUAUUGAAUAUAUAAGAAGACAGAUAACAGGAUCGGGGAUAGUGGAGAAUAUUAUAAAAUCAUGUAGUGAUCACACUAUAAAAUGGAGUGGAACAAAAAUUAUAAUCAAAGAAACUCAUGAAAAAAUUAGAAAACUCAAAGAAUCCACAUAUAUUCUUCCAGCAGGUAACAAGUAUAUUUAAUGAUAAUAAAAGUCUUCAUUCGCCUGAUGUAACAAACAUAAAGAAACAAAUAGCUCUAUGAAAACGGACCGUACCUAGUUACCAUUGUUAAGAGGUUCAAAACAGAAAUAUUGAUCGCAACUGAAUUCUCAAAAACAUCCUGUAUAUUUAUUCAUAUAAACUAUUGCAUGUGACAUACGGACAUUUCAUUCUUUUGACGUAUGUCACAAGAAAUACAGCUAUUCACAAUUGAAGCGGAAGUUUUGAAGUGAAUUUUUGGUUUUGAAAACAGGAAAAAAUUAUUUUCCAAAACGUUGACUACUAAAAGUAAAAUUUAUGAAUAAGACAAAUCACUGACUAUGUGGACUCUUCAGUGGCUCAUAUUACACAGUAACUUUUCAGGCUUUGUUCAUUUUUCAGAUUGUGGAAGGUUACAUACCCAAAAAAAGAGUGAGAAGCAAUAAAAAUAAUUUAGUCUUUUCCUAAAAACUACUGGUAACGAAACAUGGUAACUGAAGACGACUGACAAGAUAUUAGGAUUUUUUUCAUGAAAUUGAACAACAGCUUGAUUAUCAAAAAUAAUAAAAAUCAAGAAAGUGUUUC